UACGGAGGGUGCAAGCGUUAAUCGGAAUUACUGGGCGUAAAGCGCACGCAGGCGGCUUUUUAAGUCGGAUGUGAAAGCCCCGGGCUCAACCUGGGAAUUGCAUUCGAUACUGGGAAGCUAGAGUAUGUGAGAGGGGGGUAGAAUUCCAAGUGUAGCGGUGAAAUGCGUAGAGAUUUGGAGGAAUACCAGUGGCGAAGGCGGCCCCCUGGCACAAUACUGACGCUCAGGUGCGAAAGCGUGGGGAGCAAAC
rnacentral:rRNA from 1 species